CCUACGGGAGGCAGCAGUAGGGAAUCUUCCACAAUGGACGAAAGUCUGAUGGAGCAACGCCGCGUGAGUGAAGAAGGGUUUCGGCUCGUAAAGCUCUGUUGGUAGUGAAGAAAGAUAGAGGUAGUAACUGGCCUUUAUUUGACGGUAAUUACUUAGAAAGUCACGGCUAACUACGUGCCAGCAGCUGCGGUAAUACGUAGGUGGCAAGCGUUGUCCGGAUUUAUUGGGCGUAAAGCGAGUGCAGGCGGUUCAAUAAGUCUGAUGUGGAAAGCUUCGGCGCAAACGGAGAA
rnacentral:rRNA from 1 species